GAACAAACAGCUUGCCUCAGAUGUCAGCAGGAGCAUAGACCAUGGACAUCCACAAGAUUUCUGGCAUCAGCCACAUGCCACAGACCUCAACAUGGUCUCUGGUGGUAAUACAGACUAUGGACAUCAAAACAGCCCUCUGCCACAGCUCUGCUCAUGGACAUCAACAUGGCUUCAGGCAGCAGCACAAACCGUGGACAUCCAAAUGGCAUUCCGUGGUAACAUGGACCACAGACAACAACAUGGUCCCCGGCUGCAGUAGGACCAUGGACCAUUGUCCUCAGCAGCAGCACAGUGGAUCAUCUCUCCUUGGGUCCUCUUUGUUACUUAGAUUCUCUGGGCUUGCGGCCUGUGGUCUGCC
rnacentral:lncRNA from 1 species